rnacentral:rRNA from 1 species
GGAGGAAAGCAGGGGAUCGAAAGACCUUAUGCUUUUGGAGCGGCCGAUGUCUGAUUAGCUAGUUGGUGAGGUAAAUGCUUACCAAGGCGACGAUCAGUAGUUGGUCUGAGAGGACGACCAGCCACACUGGGACUGAGACACGGCCCAGACUCCUACGGGAGGCAGCAGUGGGGAAUUUUGGACAAUGGGCGCAAGCCUGAUCCAGCAAUGCCGUGUGAGUGAAGAAGGCCUUCGGGUUGUAAAGCUCUUUCAGUCGAGAAGAAAAGGUUGUGACUAAUACUCAUAACCCAUGACGGUAUCGACAGAAGAAGCACCGGCUAACUACGUGCCAGCAGCCGCGGUAAUACGUAGGGUGCGAGCGUUAAUCGGAAUUACUGGGCGUAAAGGGUGCGCAGGCGGUUCUGUAAGUCAGAUGUGAAAUCCCCGGGCUUAACCUGGGAAUUGCGUUUGAAACUACAAAGCUAGA